AUGAUCCGCGACGCCAUCGCGCGUCUCCGCGACCGGGGCUACGGCUUCAUGGCGCUGGCCAUGCGCGUCAAGCUCGCCGAGCUCGAGAGGUUCGCCAACCUGACGCUCUUCGCGCUCGACGACCAGGCCAUCUUCGUCGGCGGAGGCCACCACUACGUCUCAGCGUUGCGCUUCCACAUCGUCCCCGACCACCGCCUCACCCACGCCGACCUCCUUCGCCUCCGCCCUGGCAUGAUCCUCCCCACGCUGGCCGGCGAGGGCCAGAGCCUUGUCGUCACCAACGGCGCCGGCUCCGCGUCGGCCUACAACAUCGACGUCAGCAUCAACUACAUACCCAUCAAGGAGCUCGACGUGGUGGUCAACUCCCGCAUCGCCGUCCACGACGUCUACAUGCCGUUCCCCCGACCCCGCCUCAACCUCGCCAACCUCGCCGCCUCGGUGGCCGCUGCGUCCGCCGUCCAGACCAGCACCUGCAGCGUCGGGGGACCCUUCGGCGACUGCCCCUCCUCAGCGAUGACUUCUCCCAAGAGGCAAGUAGCUCCUGGUGAGUGA
rnacentral:rRNA from 1 species